rnacentral:rRNA from 1 species
UACAGAGGGUGCGACCGUUAAUCGGAAUUACUGGGCGUAAAGCGCGCGUAGGCGGCUUUGCAAGUCGGGUGUGAAAUCCCCAGGCUCAACCUGGGAACUGCAUUCGAGACUGCAUUGCUAGAGUAUGGGAGAGGGAAGUGGAAUUUCCGGUGUAGCGGUGAAAUGCGUAGAUAUCGGAAGGAACAUCAGUGGCGAAAGCGACUUCCUGGACCAAUACUGACGCUCAUGUGCGAAAGCGUGGGGAGCAAACAGG